AACGACUCUCGGCAACGGAUAUCUUGGCUCUCGCAUCGAUGAAGAACGUAGCGAAAUGCGAUACUUGGUGUGAAUUGCAGAAUCCCGUGAACCAUCGAGUUUUUGAACGCAAGUUGCGCCCGAAGCCUUCGGCCAGGGCACGUCUGCCUGGGCGUCACGCA
rnacentral:rRNA from 7 species